rnacentral:rRNA from 1 species
GACGAACGCUGGCGGCGUGCCUAAUACAUGCAAGUUGAGCGCUGAAGGUUGGUACUUGUACCAACUGGAUGAGCAGCGAACGGGUGAGUAACGCGUGGGGAAUCUGCCUUUGAGCGGGGGACAACAUUUGGAAACGAAUGCUAAUACCGCAUAAAAACUUUAAACACAAGUUUUAAGUUUGAAAGAUGCAAUUGCAUCACUCAAAGAUGAUCCCGCGUUGUAUUAGCUAGUUGGUGAGGUAAAGGCUCACCAAGGCGAUGAUACAUAGCCGACCUGAGAGGGUGAUCGGCCACAUUGGGACUGAGACACGGCCCAAACUCCUACGGGAGGCAGCAGUAGGGAAUCUUCGGCAAUAGACGAAAGUCUGACCGAGCAACGCCGCGUGAGUGAAGAAGGUUUUCGGAUCGUAAAACUCUGUUGGUAGAGAAGAACGUUGGUGAGAGUGGAAAGCUCAUCAAGUGACGGUAACUACCCAGAAAGGGACGGCUAACUAUGUG